rnacentral:rRNA from 1 species
GUCGUAACAAGGUCUCCGUUGGUGAACCAGCGGAGGGAUCAUUACCGAGUUUACAACUCCCAAACCCAAUGUGAACGUUACCAAACUGUUGCCUCGGCGGGAUCUCUGCCCCGGGUGCGUCGCAGCCCCGGACCAAGGCGCCCGCCGGAGGACCAACCAAAAACUCUUUUGUAUACCCCCUCGCGGGUUUUUUAUAUCUGAGCCAUCUCGGCGCCUCUCGUAGGCGUUUCGAAAAUGAAUCAAAACUUUCAACAACGGAUCUCUUGGUUCUGGCAUCGAUGAAGAACGCAGCGAAAUGCGAUAAGUAAUGUGAAUUGCAGAAUUCAGUGAAUCAUCGAAUCUUUGAACGCACAUUGCGCCCGCCAGUAUUCUGGCGGGCAUGCCUGUCCGAGCGUCAUUUCAACCCUCGAACCCCUCCGGGGGGUCGGCGUUGGGGAUCGGCCCUUUACGGGGCCGGCCCCGAAAUACAGUGGCGGUCUCGCCGCAGCCUCUCCUGCGCAGUAGUUUGCACACUCGCAUCGGGAGCGCGGCGCGUCCAUUGCCGUAAAACACCCAACUUUCUGAAAUGUUGACCUCGGAUCAGGUAGGAAUACCCGCUGAACUUAAGCAUAUC